rnacentral:rRNA from 1 species
AUGGCCGGAGCAGCAAACGAUCUGAAGCUACUGGGCAUGUGGGCGAGCCCGUAUGUCCUGCGGGUGCGCCUUGCUCUCAGCAUCAAGGGCAUCAGCUACGAGUACACAGAGGAGGACCUCCGGCACAAGAGCGAGCUGCUCCUCCGGUCAAACCCCGUCCACAACAAGGUCCCCGUGCUGAUCCACGACGGCAAGCCCGUCUCCGAGUCUUGUUGA